rnacentral:tRNA from 1 species
GAGAAGAUAGCUCAGUGGUAGAGUGCCUGCCUAGCAUGCACAAGGUCCUGGGUUUAAUCCCCAGCACCUCC